rnacentral:piRNA from 1 species
UGAUUCGUCUAUAGUAAUGGA